AGGAGGCAGUCACUUACUCCUGUGCUGUCAAAUGUUAUGAGGAUUUCAGAGCCCCUGAAGUCUCAGUAGAUUUAGUCACAUCAACUUGUUUCAGGGUGACAUAUGCUGAAAGCAGCAUGUGUUCAUCAGUGAAUAAACAAUGCUCCAUCAUGUUUCCCAAAGAAAUCUAUCUUCAACAGACCCGUCUACAACACGAUCAUGUCAGGUUAACCUGCAACAGCAGGUGUUCUCUGACUGAACCUCAGGCCUCCAUUGUUUUGUUUAGGAACAAAAAGGAAGAAAGUAGGACGAUUACAGUUCCCUUAACAUCUGCAGACACCUUCACUUGUUCUGUGAAAGAUAUGAAGGACUUUCAUUCUGCUGAUGUCUGUUUUGGUAACAGCAGCUGCUGGACUGUGACUUGUGCCCAAAAAAGAAUCUGUGCUCUGAAAGACUCCUCUCUGAAUAUCUACUGUAAAUAUUCACAUCCUCAUGACCAGCCGCCAAAGUCUAAACUUUGGUUUAAAAUAAACAAAAAUAUAAACCAGGAAGAACAACUGAAAUAAAAAAAUAAUAGAGUGACAUUUUAUGAGUCUCCAAACCAACAUAACCUUAGAUUUGAAAAAUUAAGUAAAAGUGACUCAGGAGAAUAUGUGUUUAGAAUUGAAAGAAACUCUAGAGAAUGGAAAGAAUCCACUUUUCCUGAAGUUA